ACUAACAUGUAUAAUAAAAUCCAUACUAAUAUCCAACUUAACUAAUAGCUAAGUUUUAUAAGUUUUGUCAUUCAAACCAUGUAUAAUCUUAGCAUUUCCAUUACAGUAGAUAGUAAUUUUAAGCACUUUGUAAAAACCAUUGUUAAAAAUGGUCUGGGAAAUUCAUCUGAUUUUUCAAAAAAGUCAUUGAAUUUUAUAUAAAUAGUUGGCUACAAACCCUGUUGGAGAAACAUUGUUUUAAUAUGAGUUUUUUUGUUUUUUAUUGCAAUUUUUAUCUUAAACAUUAACGAGAAUUGUUUUGUGUCUCUCCCAGAAAUUGAAUGCACACCUACAAAUUUCAUAAUUCAUAAAAAUAUUAUGAAUCUAUUAGCAAGUAUAUAUUUUUAUCAUUAAAAGUUUGCCCCUCUGUCUUUAAUUUUAUCUGUUUUAUUAGUGAUUGUUGUAUUUACUUUCAUAAAUUCUAAAUAUAAUAUGUAAUUAGUUGUAUAGUAUCUUAAUAAUAUAAUUAACUUUAAUGUUUCAAGAUAAAGUUGUAUCCUUGAAAGAUAUGCUGGUAUUAUUGACACAAUGGGCAAGCAUUGAAGGGCAACUUGGUGAACUACAAAACACAUCAAAAGCAAUUAUAAAAAAUUGAGUAACAAAAGUAUGAUAAUUAUUGUAUUGCCUGAAAGAGUGUCAUUGUCAUUAAAAGCAGUGAAGAAAUCAAGUACUCUGGAAGAAAAAAGACAAGAAAACACUUAAGUAAACGGUUAAUUAUUUGGCACAAAUUGGAGUUAAAGACGAAGGAGAUUGUAUAUGUUAUUUACUAAGAAUAGUUUUUUAUAAUAGCCUAGCUGUAAAAUUAAAUUAUGCAACGAGAGGAAAAAAAAUUGGAAUAGGAAAAAUGUUGAUUGUAUAUGCUGCUAUUGAAACUGUGAAGUCAAAUAAGCAUGGCUUAUGCAGACAUGUGAUAGA